AUUGGAAGGGGAGCCAUGGUGAAUUAGGAAAAUGCACAGCGGGUGCAAAGUAGCCCCCUCCAGGUGUUUGGCUUGUGCAGGUCCCUCUCACUUCAUGGCUUAAGAAAAACAAACAAACGAAAUCUCCUUCAGGUCUUGUGUCUCCAUUAUGUGGUCAUUCUUUUGAUCUGAUGUCACAUUCCACGUUUCAUUGCCUGACUGAAAAUAAACAUUUAUUUUCAUUCAUAGGAUGCUGACUUCCAUCUGAAUUCCACAUGAAUCUUGGCAUUUAUUAUUUCCCAUCUCUCCAAAAUGCUCAGCUCUGCCCAUAGGCUCAACUUGAAGCAAUAAAAGGGAAGUAGCCAAGAGCUUACUUUCUCUAACUUUUUUCUUUUUUUUUUGAGAUGGAGUCUCUCUGCGCCGAGUUUGGAGUUCAGUGGCAUGAUCUCGGCUCACUGCAACCUCCGCUUCCUGGGUUCAAGCAAUUCUCCUGCCUCAGCCUCCCGAGUAGGAAAAAGGAAUAUGCUUCUUUGGGAAGGACAUGAACUAGGGCGACAGCAAAAGGAAAGCGAAUGUGGGGCUGUUUUGGAGUCCCAUACACUCUCAGCGGCAGAGCAAUAUUAAAACUUCCUAGAAGACAUCUGAGCAGCAAUUCUAAUAAUCAUGUAUUAUGUAUCUGCAAUAAAUAAACCAUGAACCAACUAGCAAA